rnacentral:rRNA from 1 species
UACGGAGGGUGCGAGCGUUGUCCGGAAUCACUGGGCGUAAAGGGCGCGUAGGCGGCCGGAUAAGUAGGGGGUGAAAUCCUGCGGCUUAACCGCAGGGCUGCCUUCUAAACUGUCAGGCUGGAGCACAGUAGAGGCAGGUGGAAUUCCCGGUGUAGCGGUGGAAUGCGUAGAGAUCGGGAAGAACAUCAGUGGCGAAGGCGGCCUGCUGGGCUGUUGCUGACGCUGAGGCGCGACAGCGUGGGGAGCAAACAGGG